rnacentral:rRNA from 1 species
GACGUAGGGCGCGAGCGUUGUCCGGAUUUAUUGGGCGUAAAGAGCUCGUAGGCGGCUUGUUGCGUCAGCUGUGAAAACCCGCAGCUCAACUGUGGGCUUGCAGCUGAUACGGGCAGGCUUGAGUUCGGUAGGGGAGACUGGAAUUCCUGGUGUAGCGGUGAAAUGCGCAGAUAUCUGGAGGAACACCGGUGGCGAAGGCGGCAUCCUGGACCGGUAUUGACGCUGAGGCGCGAAAGCUAGGGGAGCAAACGGG